rnacentral:tRNA from 1 species
GGAGGUACCACUCAAGAGAUAGAGCAAAUGCUUAGCAUGCAUGAAGUCCUGGGUUCAAUCCCCAGUACCUCCU